rnacentral:rRNA from 1 species
UACGUAGGGUGCAAGCGUUAAUCGGAAUUACUGGGCGUAAAGCGUGCGCAGGCGGUUGUGCAAGACCGAUGUGAAAUCCCCGGGCUUAACCUGGGAAUGGCAUUGGUGACUGCACGGCUAGAGUGUGUCAGAGGGGGGUAGAAUUCCACGUGUAGCAGUGAAAUGCGUAGAUAUGCGGAGGAACACCGAUGGCGAAGGCAAUCCCCUGGGCCUGCACUGACGCUCAUGCACGAAAGCGUGGGGAGCAAACAGG